CCUCCAAAAAUAGGUGUAUGCCGCUUAGCGUAGAGAACACACGGUAUUCUUUAGUAAAAGGUGUUCUAAUUUUCUUUAUAUCUCCUUUAGUUGUUAACAAAUAAGAUGGAAUACGAAUCUUCUUUUUUUUUUUUUUUCUAAAACAUGUUAAGCCAAUUAUGCGUCCCAACGAUCUUGUUUCGU
rnacentral:sRNA from 1 species